CUUCCAGAUUCGAGUGCAGUUGAAGAACGAGUUUAAGCCCCUACGCUCAGUUCAAAACUCAGCUGUAACAACACACAUCUUCAUCGCAGUUAGAGGAUGAAAAGGGUGAAGGAUGUUGAAGAUUCCAACUCUGAACUUUGGUGAAGGGAACGAUGCCCCUUCUGAAUUUCACCAAGUACAUCUAUGGAAGGAAAAGUAAUUUGGGAUAGAAGGAGAUUAUGAUAUGAAGCAUGAAGAUGGUGGAUGUUAAUGCUUAGGAAUUUGAAUUAGACAUUAGAACCUUAUGUCAUGAGCUUGUAUUUUUGAGUUUGAUUCAUAUGUAAGGUGUUAACAUGAUUAUGUACUUGAACCUUGAAUUUGAAGUUGGAAAUUGAAUGGAAUGCUUGAAUUUGUAUA